CCAGACUCCUACGGGAGGCAGCAGUAGGGAAUCUUCGGCAAUGGACGGAAGUCUGACCGAGCAACGCCGCGUGAGUGAAGAAGGUUUUCGGAUCGUAAAGCUCUGUUGUAAGAGAAGAACGAGUGUGAGAGUGGAAAGUUCACACUGUGACGGUAUCUUACCAGAAAGGGACGGCUAACUACGUGCCAGCAGCCGCGGCAAUACGUAGGUCCCGAGCGUUGUCCGGAUUUAUUGGGCGUAAAGCGAGCGCAGGCGGUUAGAUAAGUCUGAAGUUAAAGGCUGUGGCUUAACCAUAGUACGCUUUGGAAACUGUUUAACUUGAGUGCAGAAGGGGAGAGUGGAAUUCCAUGUGUAGCGGUGAAAUGCGUAGAUAUAUGGAGGAACACCGGUGGCGAAAGCGGCUCUCUGGUCUGUAACUGACGCUGAGGCUCGAAAGCGUGGGUAGCAAACAGGAUUAGAUACCCUGGUAGUCCACGCCGUAAACGAUGAGUGCUAAGUGUUGGAGGGUUUCCGCCCUUCAGUGCUGCAGUUAACGCAUUAAGCACUCCGCCUGGGGAGUACGACCGCAAGGUUGAAACUCAAAGGAAUUGACGGGGGCCCGCACAAG
rnacentral:rRNA from 1 species